CCGGUGGGACUCGGCGCAGCCGGAGCUCCGUAACUAUACCCUCCGCGCUGCUCUUAACCGAGUGGUUCGGUGGGCCGGCACGUUUACUUUGAACAAAUUUGAGUGCUCAAAGCAGGCCUUACGUUGCCUGGAAACUGUGUGCAUGGAAUAAUGAAAGAGGACCUUGGUUCUAUUUUGUUGGCUUUCUGAACUCGAGGUAAUGAUUAACAGGGACAGACGGGGGCAUUCGUAUUGCGACGUUAGAGGUGAAAUUCUUGGAUCGUCGCAAGACGGACCGAUGGGAAAGCGUUUGCCAAGAAUGUUUUCGCUAAUCAAGAACGAAAGUUAGAGGUUCGAACGCGAUUAGAUACCGCCCUAGUUCUACCAUAACGAUGUCAGCCAGCGAUGCGCCGAUGUUCUCCGAUGACACCGCGCGCAACUUCCCGGGAAACCAAGCUUUUGGNNUCCGGGGAAGUAUNGUUGCAAAGCUGAAACUUAAAGGAUUGACCGAAAGGCACACCA
rnacentral:rRNA from 1 species